GACGAACGCUGGCGGCGUGCUUAACACAUGCAAGUCGAACGGAAAGGCCCUGCUUUUGUGGGGUGCUCGAGUGGCGAACGGGUGAGUAACACUUGAGUAACCUGCCCUUGACUUUGGGAUAACUUCAGGAAACUGGGGCUAAUACCGGAUAGGAGCUCCUGCUGCAUGGUGGGGUUUGGAAAGUUUCGGCGGUUGGGGAUGGACUCGCGGCUUAUCAGCUUGUUUGUGGGGUAGUGGCUUACCAAGGCUUUGACGGGUAGCCGGCCUGAGAGGGUGACCGGGGACAUUGGGACUGAGAUACGGCCCAGAAUGCAACGGGAGGCAGCAGUGGGGAAUAUUGCACAAUGGGCGGAAGCCUGAUGCAGCAACGCCGCGUGCGGGAUGACGGCCUUCGGGUUGUAAACCGACUUAGCCUGUGACGAAGCGUGAGUGACGGUAAUGGGUAAAGAAGCACCGGCUAACUACGUG
rnacentral:rRNA from 1 species